CUGACAGAUGGACAAAAUGUCUAUUCAUACACACUCAGCACCAAAAGACCUCCCCUCUCCUGCCUAUGCCUUCUCCGGCAUGUGUGGCUUUGAUAUGAGUGUUUUCUGGGCUGCUGAGAGUAUCAGAUGUGUUUGUCAUGAGAAGAUAAGUGCUCCCCACUAGAGGCUCUCUCGCGGUACACAGAACUCAGCCCAGACUCAAGCCUCAGGACAAAACCACCAGCGCUUUAAAGGCUCAGCUCAGCCCAUCGCCAGAAGCAGCUCACACAAACCCACUGGCCUCUAAGUACCACAAUUCAAAUGAGUAGUUGUCACAAUUAUUUUUCAUAUGCAAAAUGGAGAGUCUUCUGGCUGGAGGUCCUGGACGCUACCGACAAGGGAAACUGAUCUAGCAACUCCUCCUCUUCCGGGCAGAGCAACCAUUAGAAGAGUCCCUGGCACCUGUCCUGCUGCCCCAGUCUGUCUCACGCUGAUAGCUCCUGUGCAGACCUUGACGGACUUGACUCAUGACACCCGCUCUCCAAGGAGCUGGGACUGCUCGCCAUGAUGGAAGCCAAGUAGCAGCAGCAAGGUUCUGACGGAGACAGAACUCUAUCUUGCAAUAAACUGACUGAUGAU